rnacentral:rRNA from 1 species
AGUGAACGCUGGCGGUAGGCCUAACACAUGCAAGUCGAACGGCAGCACAGUAAGAGCUUGCUCUUACGGGUGGCGAGUGGCGGACGGGUGAGGAAUACAUCGGAAUCUACUUUUUCGUGGGGGAUAACGUAGGGAAACUUACGCUAAUACCGCAUACGACCUACGGGUGAAAGCAGGGGAUCUUCGGACCUUGCGCGAUUGAAUGAGCCGAUGUCGGAUUAGCUAGUUGGCGGGGUAAAGGCCCACCAAGGCGACGAUCCGUAGCUGGUCUGAGAGGAUGAUCGGCCACACUGGAACUGGGCCACGGUCCAGACUCCUACGGGGGGCAGCAGUGGGGAAUAUUGGACAAUGGGCGCAAGCCUGAUCCAGCCAUACCGCGUGGGUGAAGAAGGCCUUCGGGUUGUAAAGCCCUUUUGUUGGGAAAGAAGAGCAGCAGGUUAAUACCCCGCUGUUCUGACGGUACCCAAAGAAUAAGCACCGGCUAAUUUCGUG